CCAAUAGCGUAUAUUAAAGUUGUUGCAGUUAAAAAGCUCGUAGUUGAAUUUCGGGAUCAGUACGCUGGUCGUGCCUUCGGUAUGUACUGGUGUUACUGGUUCCUACCUUCUGACGAACCGUCAUGUCAUUAAUUUGGUGUGGCGGGGAAUCAGGACUGUUACUUUGAAAAAAUUAGAGUGUUUAAAGCAGGCUCGCGCUUGAAUACAUUAGCAUGGAAUAAUGAAAUAGGACGUUCGAUCCUAUUUUGUUGGUUUCUAGGAUUGACGUAAUGAUUAAUAGGGAUAGUUGGGGGCAUUAGUAUUCAAUUGUCAGAGGUGAAAUUCUUGGAUUUAUUGAAGACUAACUACUGCGAAAGCAUUUGCCAAGGAUGUUUUCAUUAAUCAAGAACGAAAGUUAGGGGAUCGUAGACGAUCAGAUACCGUCGUAGUCUUAACCAUAAACUAUGCCGACUAGGGAUCGGAUGAUGUUAAUUUUUUAAUGACUCAUUCGGCGCCUUAC
rnacentral:rRNA from 1 species